rnacentral:rRNA from 1 species
GAUGAACGCUAGCGGGAGGCUUAACACAUGCAAGUCGAGGGGUAAAUGGUAGCAAUACUAUGAGACCGGCGGACGGGUGCGUAACGCGUAUGCAACAUACCUUGUGCAGGGGGAUAGCCCGUGGAAACGCGGAUUAAUAUUCCAUAGUCCAGCUAUAUCGCAUGGUAUAGUUGGUAAAGAUUUAUCGGCACAAGUUUGGCAUGCGUCUGAUUAGCUUGUUGGUAGGGUAACGGCCUACCAAGGCUACGAUCAGUAGGGGUUCUGAGAGGAUUAACCCCCACACUGGUACUGAGACACGGACCAGGCUCCUACGGGAGGCAGCAGUGAGGAAUAUUGGUCAAUGGGCGGAAGCCUGAACCAGCCAUCCCGCGUGAAGGAAGACAGCCUUACGGGUUGUAAACUUCUUUUCUGUCAGAAGAAUAAGCUUGUCGAGACGAGUGAUGCCGGUAUGACAGGAAUAAGCAUCGGCUAACUCCGUGCCAGCAGCCGAC